CCCUUAGAUGUUCUGGGCUGCACGCGCGCUACACUGAUGUACUCAACGAGUUUACGACCUUGCCCGAUAGGGUUGGGUAAUCUUUUUAAAAUGCAUCGUGAUGGGGAUAGAUUAUUGCAAUUAUUAAUCUUCAACGAGGAAUUCCUAGUAAGCGCGAGUCAUCAGCUCGUGCUGAUUACGUCCCUGCCCUUUGUACACACCGCCCGUCGCUCCUACCGAUUGAGUGCUCAGGUGAAUAAUUCGGACUGCAGCAAUGUUUGGAUCCCGAACGUUGCAGCGGAAAGUUUAGUGAACCUUAUCACUUAGAGGAAGGAGAAGUCGUAACA
rnacentral:rRNA from 1 species